rnacentral:rRNA from 1 species
UACGUAGGGUGCAAGCGUUUGUCCGGAAUUAUUGGGCGUAAAGGGCUCGUAGGCAGUCUGUCGCGUCGGGAGUGAAAAACUCGGGGGCUUAACUCCGAGCCUGCUUCUGAUACGGGCAGACUAGAGGUAUGCAGGGGAGAAUGGAAUUCCUGGUGUAGCGGUGAAAUGCGCAGAUAUCAGGAGGAACACCGGUGGCGAAGGCGGUUCUCUGGGCAUGACCUGACGCUGAGGAGCGAAAGUGUGGGGGAGCGAACAGG